rfam:Triticum aestivum genome assembly, contig: Triticum_aestivum_CS42_TGACv1_scaffold_404232_5BL
CAAGUACUCCCUCCGUCCGGAAAUACUUGUCGGAGAAAUGCAUGAAAAUGGAUGUAUCUAGAAUUAAAAUACGUCUAGAUACAUCCAUUCCUCCGACAAGUAUUUCCGGACGGAGGGAGUAUAAA